CUAAUUUGGCAAUUACUUAUUUUGAUUCGUAUCCAGCAUCUUCGUUUUUCUGCAGCCUUUUAAUUAACUGGGUGGCUCCCGGCAGCACGCGGGUCCAUUUCAUGCUUGGUUGGUGAGUCCCACAAAGUUCUAUUAAAUCAAUUAAGUUGGGACAUGUGAAAGAAGCCAGGAGGGGAGGAUGUGUGAGACUUAGCUUGUCAGACAAAGCUACCCUGGUCAUGGGGCUGCAACGGAAGGGGCUUCCGGCCCCAACCUCCUGUGCUGGGUGCCGGGUGGAUCAGAUCUGGAUCUUACAUGGAUUCUGCCUCCAAGAAACCUGGUAAUGAAGGGAUUAUCCUCCCAUUUUACAGACGAAGAAACUGAGGCUUGGGAAAGUUAAGCAACUUGACUAAAGCCCAAUGAUUGGAAACUGGAGCCAGGAUUCAUU
rnacentral:lncRNA from 1 species